GAAGAAGGUGCAGGGUUGCGUGUUGUCAUCUAUAAACUAAUUGUUAGUGUUCUUCAAUUUGUCGCAAAGCUUGAUGAUGGCAGUGAGCUUCAAGUUGCGGAACAUGACGUGGAGUUUGAGGUUAACAUAAAACAUUUUACGGUUGAAAAAUUGAUAGAACUCAUUAGGUCAAAAAUUAUAUGGGGGCUUGGUCAAGAGGUCCAUAUUUUGUGUCAAGAAAAGCACUUUGAAUCAGUUGAGAGGAUUGAUAGCUAUUGGAAGUUGUUGACAGCUUUUCUUGAGAGAUGGAAAGAGAAAGAAUUGCUUGUGCUUGCGCAAGUUGUGGACAUUGCAAAGGGGGUUACAACAUCAUCUUGCUCUGGAAAUAUCCCAUCUAGUGAUAUAGUGGACAAUAUCAUUAGCUCAAGUUCUGAAGUUUACCAGUCAAAUGCUAGCACAAGAUUCCGCGACUUGUAA
rnacentral:rRNA from 1 species